rnacentral:rRNA from 1 species
GUGAGGAAUAUUGCGCAAUGGAGGCAACUCUGACGCAGCCAUGCCGCGUGCAGGAAGAAGGCGCUACGCGUUGUAAACUGCUUUUAACCGGGAAGAAACCCCAGGACGUGUCCUGGGUUGACGGUACCGGAGGAAUAAGCACCGGCUAACUUCGUGCCAGCAGCCGCGGUAAUACGAAGGGUGCAAGCGUUAUCCGGAUUCAUUGGGUUUAAAGGGUGCGUAGGCGGAGCGUUAAGUCAGUGGUGAAAUCCUGCAGCUUAACUGUAGACUUGCCAUUGAUACUGGCGCUCUUGAGUGCGCUUGAAGUGGGCGGAAUGUGCCGUGUAGCGGUGAAAUGCUUAGAUAUGGCACAGAACACCAAUUGCGAAGGCAGCUCACUAAGGCGAUACUGACGCUGAGGCACGAAAGCGUGGGGAUCGAACAGGAUUAGAAACCACGGUAGUCC